rnacentral:snRNA from 1 species
GUGCUCACUUCGGCAGCACAUAUAAUAAAAUUGGAAUGAUGCAGAGAAGUUAGCAUGGCCCCUGUGCCAGGAUGACAUGCAAAUUUGUGAAGUAUUCCAAAAUUUU